UACCACCUUAAAAGAAUCUCGUCCUCGAGAUUGAGCAGUGCAUAUACAAACAACUGUGGAUAUGAUUCUCUCCAAUCAUUCUCUCUUUCCCAACUUAUCUGAAAAUUCAUCUGGAAACUUAUUCACUACACGGUCCUGAAGAUCCACAUCUCCAUCUAGCUGAUUCACUGUAGCGGUGGGUGGAGCUUGUACCGCUACAUCAACACUAAUUCUCUCUCCCUUUGGUGUUGUCACAACUACUACUUUCUCUUUGCACUUAAUCUCCGUAGUAUAUUUCUUCAUCCAAUCCAAACCCA
rnacentral:lncRNA from 1 species